AAAAGGUGGAGAGAGGAGCAACGAAUAUUACAUUCUUCUUCUCUUCUACUCUUUUUUUGCCCUCUUCGUUAGGGUUUCUGCUUUUCUUGAUGAUCUUUGAAGGAAUUCAAUUUCUGUAAAUGCAUUCGGUUGUUAUUGGACUGUAUCAAGUUAUUUGCGUCUUGUUCUUGGUUGAUUCUAUCUUUUUUGCUCUCAAUCGAGGGUCUUCUUUUGAAAAGCUUUGCAAUUUCGGAUCUUUGUUCCCAUGCCUGCUCUCGUCAACUAUAGUGGAGAUGAGGAUUUCUAUCCUGGGUCUAUAUACUCGAAUCCCAUGGAUUCGAGCCUCAUGCUUUCUCUUGGUUCUCAUGUGGAUGUCUACUGUCCUCCU